CAUGAACCAUUAGACCUUUUAUCAUGAACCAUAAGCCUUUGGAACUAUUUCUAAUUUCAACUUACACAUUCAAGAACAUUAAAUCCAUAAUCCAACCUACACCAAUUCUCACUUCUAUACACUUCCAACCAUUGGUUUACAUAUUGAUUUGGUUCCAACCACAUCUAAACCAUAACCUACACAUGAUUAACUCAUACGCAAAUCCAAACAUUCCACUCAAAUUACCAACUUCAUAAGAGCACAAGCUCAUGACAUGAAGUUCAAAUUUUUAAUUCAAAACCUAUAUCAUACAAUCAUGACAAUCCUACCAAAACUAGAUCUACAAGUUGGUUCGUCGAUCCUUCGACACAGACCAAGCACUUCCCUUGCUGCUGCUGCCAACCGAAGCAUUAAUUCAUUAACAUAACCGUUGACCUACAAAACAGAGUUGAAAUUGUAUCAUGUUAGGAUUCCAUUCAUACUUAAAUUAACCAAAAAGCAAUUGCAUAGCCGCACCCUGCAGUGCACCUCAUAUCAUACCACCAACCUGCAUUCAACAACCAUUAGACCUACACAACCUUCAACGAGAAGCUCUGCAACAAGCCCUACACAAUCCAUAUUUCUAUAACCUACAUCAUAAGCCAAGCAACAAUACAACAAGUCAAGAUCAUUACAAUAAUACAAAACAACAAUUUGCAACAGGGCCAUGAUCAAACUUGAAUAACACAACCAAACAGUCAAUGCAUUAGCCAUCCAAAACCCCAUGAAAAUCUCCAGCAAGCCUAGCAGUUCAAUAACACACUACAACAUGGCAUUUACAAAAAUCAAGAAAACAACUAACCUCACCAUUAACCUUUAAUUGAACAAUAACUAGCCAUUUUGUCUUCCAUCUAAUCACCACUUUCUAUACAAUAACAAAUGCCAACCCAAAGCAGAAUUGAAACAGAAAGCAUGAUCAUUCCAGUCAGUGGGAAGUUGAAUCCCAAACUAGGUUCUUUUCCUAAACAAAACUUAGUCCAAUAUCCCAAGGAUUAAAGAAUUGAGCAGAAUUUUCGUCCUGCAGGUCUGGAACAGGAAUGGGUUUUAAAGAAGUUGAAUCAAAUACAAGGGCUAACCAUCUAGUCCAUUAAACUUAGGAGAAAACCAAAUUAGCCCAGUUGGCAUUUCAAUUCAGUUUCCAUUUUGUUAACAAAAUAUAUAUAUGAUUAACUAACUCAUGAAUUGCACCUCAUUAUAACAACAACCUAACAAACAAUUUCUAACAACAUUUCAUUUUACAAAUAAUAUUUCAUUUUACAAUUUCUAACAACAUUCAAUUUCAAAACAAUUUCUAACAAUAUCAUUUCAUUCCAAUUUUAUAACAGCAAAAUUUCAUCAACUAACUAUCACAUAACAUUUUUUUGAAUAACUAUAGACAUCAGCAGAGGGCAUUUCGAAGGAAGGAAAACAAAUUGCAUUUCACAGUAAAUUUCAGUAAAAUUGCAUUUUAAAUCUGAGUUCAUUUAAUUGCACUGCAAAGCCCGGCUUCAAUUUUCAUUUUCAUUUCAUUUAAAUCUGAGUUUUAGUUGUCAUUUCCCAAAAUCUGAAUUUCCAACUAACAUUCUCAUUUGUAACUAAUUCUAAAUUCCAACUGAAUUUCAUUGACAUUUCAAAACAAUUUUUAUCCCUAACUAAGUCUUGAAUUUCAGUGACAUUUGAAGUGAAUUUCUAACUAUAAAUUUCACCUGAAUUUGGAGCAAGUUUCUAACAGAAUCUGAACUGCUAUAAAGAUAACCUCACUGCAACUUAUGGAGGGGCUUGAUGGUCCUGCAAUUCACACUCAAAAUCUUCUUCUUCAACAACUUCAAUUUUCUUCACACAAGAGAUUCAUGGUCCUUCACUACCAAGCGCUUCAAUGUUCUUCACGACCCAAAGCCUUAACCUUCUUCACUGUCCAAACUCCCAUCUUCAACCAAUUUCUCCAUUCUGAAAACGACUAGCAGACCCUAUAGAGCGAACAGAAGCACAACAAUCAACAAGAAGCAACAACGUGCACGGCGGAACGGGAAGAGAAGAAGUACACACAACAACAAAACAUAUCCACCAAAAGAACACAGCAGAAUUCGC
rnacentral:lncRNA from 1 species